UACGUAGGCAGCGAGCGUUGUUCGGAGUUACUGGGCGUAAAGCGUGCGUAGGCGGUGUCUUAAGUUUGUUGUGAAAUCUCCCGGCUUAACCGGGAGGGUGCGGCGAAUACUGAGAUGCUGGAGUGCCGGAGAGGUAAGCGGAAUUCCUGGUGCAGCGGUGAAAUGCGUAGAUAUCAGGAGGAACACCGGUGGCGAAGGCGGGUCUCUGGGCCGUAACUGACGCUGAGGAGCGAAGGCCAGGGGAGCAAACGGG
rnacentral:rRNA from 1 species